CCUCUUGGGGAGUAGCCUGCUUCCGUGCAUUGCGGAAGAGCGCGAGUCAACACACUCGGUAUUGGAUACCGUGGCUCGGGCGGCGUAACAGCUUGGCGAGACCAACGGUGCAUCCACGCGGGUUUUGUCGGGCGUGUGCGGUGUGCCGUGGUUCUCGUACCCGGCUGGACUCCU
rnacentral:sRNA from 2 species